rnacentral:rRNA from 1 species
AACGAACGCUGGCGGCAUGCCUAACACAUGCAAGUCGAACGAGACCUUCGGGUCUAGUGGCGCACGGGUGCGUAACGCGUGGGAACCUGCCCUUAGGUUCGGAAUAACUAUCCGAAAGGGAUGCCAACACCGGAUAAUGUCUUCGGACGAAAGAUUUAUCGCCAUUGGAUGGGCCCGCGUUGGAGUAGCUGGUUGGUAGGGUCAAAGCCUACCAAGGCGACGAUUCAUAGCUGGUACGAGAGGAUGAUCAGCCACACUGAGACUAAGACACGGCCCAGACUCCUCCGUGAGGCCGCAAUGGGGAAUGUUGGACAGUGGGGGAAAGCCUGACCCAGCUAUGACGCGUGAGUGAUGAAGGCCUUAAGGUUGUAAAGCUCUUUUACCCGGGAUGCUAAUGACCGUACCGGGAGAAAAAGCUACGGCUAGCUCCGUG